GGAAGCCGAUUUGGAUGUGACAUCUGUCACCGCAUGGAUCGAUGACCAGGGCUGAUGUGUCUGGUCCGGCUGGCCAGGUGGUGUCCACUUCCUCCCUCACUGCUCCACGUGCAUCCAGCUGAAGCCACACGGGAGGCUGAGGAGGAUGCCACCCCAACGGAGGGGGCUGUUUCCACAGUCAGGGGCAGGCGAGCGGCUGCUCUUGCCCACCACCAUCUCCAAUCAAGCUCUCAGGUGUGAGGCUAGGAACUGCUGUCUGGAGUAAGCAGGAUUCUAGCUUGAGGUCCUUUUUUUUCUCUUCUUUUCUGAAUGAUGCUAGCAUUAAAG
rnacentral:snRNA from 1 species